rnacentral:tRNA from 1 species
GAGGGUACAGCUCAAGUGGUAGAGCUCAUGCUUAGAAUGCACAAGGUCCUGGAUUCAAUCCCCAGUACCUCCU